AGUGGCAGACGGGUGAGUAACACGUGGUCAACCUUCCGUUUUGUGGGGGAUAACUAGCCGAAAGGUUAGCUAAUACCGCAUACGAUCUACAGCGGGCAUCCGCAGUAGAUGAAAGGAGCAAUUCGCAAAACGACGGGACCGCGUCCCAUUAGCUAGAUGGUGGGGUAAUGGCCUACCAUGGCUCCGAUGGGUAGCUGGUUUGAGAGAGCGACCAGCCACACUGGGACUGAGAAACGGCCCAGACUCCUACGGGAGGCAGCAGUGAGGAAUUUUCCGCAAUGGGCGCAAGCCUGACGGAGCGACGCCGCGUGUGGGAAGAAGGCCUUCGGGUCGUAAACCACUGUCGAAGGGGAAGAUAAUGACGGUACCCUUGGAGGAAGCCCCGGCUAACUACGUGCCAGCAGCCGCGGUAAGACGUAGGGGGCGAGCGUUAUUCGGAAUUAUUGGGCGUAAAGCGCUCGUAGGCGGGACUGGAAGUCCGUGAGGAAAGACCUGGGCUCAACUCAGGUAACUGCGCGGA
rnacentral:rRNA from 1 species